rnacentral:rRNA from 1 species
CUAACAAGGAUUCCCCUAGUAACUGCGAGUGAAGCGGGAAAAGCUCAAAUUUAAAAUCUGGCAGUCUUUGGCUGUCCGAGUUGUAAUCUAGAGAAGUAUUAUCCGCGCUGGACCGUGUACAAGUCUCCUGGAAUGGAGCGUCAUAGAGGGUGAGAAUCCCGUCUUUGACACGGACUGCCAGGGCUUUGUGAUGUGCUCUCGAAGAGUCGAGUUGUUUGGGAAUGCAGCUCAAAAUGGGUGGUAAAUUCCAUCUAAAGCUAAAUAUUGGCGAGAGACCGAUAGCGAACAAGUACCGUGAGGGAAAGAUGAAAAGAACUUUGGAAAGAGAGUUAAACAGUACGUGAAAUUGCUGAAAGGGAAACGCUUGAAGUCAGUCGCAUUGGCCAGGGAUCAACCUUGCUUUUUUGCUUGGCUUACUUUCUGGUUGAUGGGUCAGCAUCAAUUUUGACUGGUAGAAAAAGUUCAAGGGAAUGUGGCAUCUUUCGGAUGUGUUAUAGCCUUUGUUCACAUAUAUCAGUUGGGAUUGAGGAACUCAGCACGCCGCAAGGCCGGGUUUUUAACCACGUACGUGCUUAGGAUGCUGGCAUAAUGGCUUUAAUCGACCCGUCUUGAAACACGGACCAAGGAGUCUAACAUGCCUGCAAGUGUUUGGGUGAAAAACCCGAGCGCGUAAUGAAAGUGAAAGUUGAGAUCCCUGUCAUGGGGAGCAUUGACGCCCGGAUCUGACCUUUUGUGACGAUUCUGCGGUAGAGCAUGUAUGUUGGGACCCGAAAGAUGGUGAACUAUGCCUGAAUAGGGUGAAGCCAGAGGAAACUCUGGUGGAGGCUCGUAGCGAUUCUGACGUGCAAAUCGAUCGUCAAAUUUGGGUAUAGGGGCGAAA